rnacentral:tRNA from 1 species
UCCCUGGUGGCUCAGCGGGUAGAGAAUCUGCCUGCAGUGCAAGAGACCUAGGUUUGAUUCCUGGGUUGGGAA